rnacentral:tRNA from 1 species
GUCAGGAUGGCCGAGCGGUCCAAGGCGCUGCGUUCAGGUCGCAGUCCGGUCUUCCGGGCGUGGGUUCGAAUUCCACUUCUGACA